rnacentral:siRNA from 1 species
UGGCAAUUCCACUUCAGGUUC